rnacentral:rRNA from 1 species
GAUAAACGCUGGCGGCGUGCCUGAGACAUGCAAGUCGAACGAAGGAACGGGCUUGCCUGCUCCUUAGUGGCGGACGGCUGAGUAACGCGUAGGUGACCUACCCCGAAGUGGGGAAUAACUGCCCGAAAGGGUGGCUAAUACCGCAAGUGGUCGCACGGUCAUACGUGCGAGUAAAGCCGCAAGGCGCCUCGGGAGGGGCCUGCGUCCGAUUAGCCCGUUGGUGGGGUAAUGGCUUACCAAGGCGACGAUCGGUAGGUUGUCUGGGAGGACGGACACCCAGUCUGGGGCUGGGACGCGGCCGGGACUCCUACGGGAGGCAGCAGUCGGGGAUUUUGCUCAAUGGGGGGAGCCCUGAAGCAGCAACGCCGCGUGAGGGAUGAAGGCCUGCAGGUAGUGAACCUCUUUUGUCAGGGGCGAUUAUGACGGUACCUGGAGAAUAAGCCACGGCUAACUACGUG